GUGCUCGCUUCGGCAGCACAUAUACUAAAAUUGGCACAAUACCGAGAAAAUCAGCAUGGCUCCUGCACAAGGAUGACACGCAAAUUUGUGAAGCAUUCCGUAUUUUU
rnacentral:snRNA from 1 species